AACGAACGCUGGCGGCAGGCUUAACACAUGCAAGUCGAACGGGUGUAGCAAUACAUCAGUGGCAGACGGGUGAGUAACACGUGGGAACCUUCCUAGGGGUACGGAACAACUCAGGGAAACUUGAGCUAAUACCGAAUACGUCCGUGAGGCGAAAGAUUUAUCGCCCUUAGACGGGCCCGCGUCAGAUUAGCUAGUUGGUGGGGUAACGGCCUACCAAGGCGACGAUCCGAAGCUGAUCUUAGAGGAUGAUCAGCCACACUGAGACUGAGACACGGCCCAGACUCCUACGGGAGGCAGCAGUGGGGAAUCUUGGACAAUGGGCGCAAGCCUGAUCCAGCCAUGCCGCGUGAGUGAAGAAGGUCUUCGGAUUGUAAAGCUCUUUCAGUAGGGACGAAGCGCAAGUGACGGUACCUACAGAAGAAGGACCGGCCAACUACGUGCCAGCAGCCGCAGUAA
rnacentral:rRNA from 1 species